rfam:Elusimicrobia bacterium GWD2_63_28 gwd2_scaffold_75, whole genome shotgun sequence.
CUUCAGUGUAAUCCCCGGGAUUGGCCGGGGAGCAUCCACCUCCGGACCUUAAUCCGGAUUCACCACUAAGC